ACCUAUUAACUGGCUGCAAUAUGAAGAUGAAAAGUGCAUUUGUUUAUGGCUGUUGUAUACUUCUGACCUUAAUAUCAAUAAAGUGAUAAAAUCUGCUGACCCUCUCAAAUCUAUUUGGAAACUAUUUUUUGUUAAAUUGCUGCAUUCUUACACACAUGUGAAGUUGCUAAUUCCAAGUUGGAUAUUGCAGAGGACUGCUCAGAACUUCCAACAGAAUCAGAUAUUGACGCAAAAAAAAAGGAAAGCGGAAAGGUCAUUACCAGUUUUAUGGAAUGAAUUGUGUGAUUCAGAUUCCGAUUAUUCAAAUCUGAAAAUGGAAAGAAGUUUUCGGUAUCAAUUUCAACCUCAAACCUGAAGUUUCCUACUCCUCCUCAGUUGCAAUCCGAAAUUCAAAAUGGGCCUCUUCAAAAUGCAUCAUCUACUAUCUGCUCUCUUUCGUCAUUAUUUUUAAACGAUUUAUCUUUUAGUAAAAAAGGAAAUGAUCAUCAAAAACUAAUAUUAUUAGAAGAGAUUAAACAAAAUAAUCAAACUAUAGUUUUUCUUUUGCAACAAUUAUCAGCACAACAGCAGCGUGGUAAAAUAGAAACAAGUUUUGAUGAGUUUGGGCUUCCUGUUUCAUUAAUGGAACAUUUACAAAAACUAGAAACAGAUUGCCUUGACAAUAACCUCCGAUGAGAGUUUGUAAGAUAUU